UGGGGAAUUUUGGACAAUUGGGCGAAAGCCUGAUCCAGCAAUGCCGCGUGUGUGAAGAAGGCCUUCGGGUUGUAAAGCACUUUUGUCCGGAAAGAAAUCCUUGGCUCUAAUACAGUCGGGGGAUGACGGUACCGGAAGAAUAAGCACCGGCUAACUACGUGCCAGCAGCCGCGGUAAUACGUAGGGUGCAAGCGUUAAUCGGAAUUACUGGGCGUAAAGCGUGCGCAGGCGGUUUGCUAAGACCGAUGUGAAAUCCCCGGGCUCAACCUGGGAACUGCAUUGGUGACUGGCAGGCUAGAGUAUGGCAGAGGGGGGUAGAAUUCCACGUGUAGCAGUGAAAUGCGUAGAGAUGUGGAGGAAUACCGAUGGCGAAGGCAGCCCCCUGGGCCAAUACUGACGCUCAUGCACGAAAAGCGUGGGGGAGCAAAACAGGAUUAGAUGCCCUGGUAGUCCACGCCCUAAACGAUGUCAACUAGUUGUUGGGGAUUCAUUUCCUUAGUAACUAGCUAACGCGUGAAGUUGACCGCCUGGGGAGUACGGUCGCAAGAUUAAAACUCAAAUGAAUUG
rnacentral:rRNA from 1 species